CUUGUUGAUUAAAUGUUUUGUUGCAAUUUUAAAGUGUAUUUUAAGAAAUUAGUAGUGAAAAUAGUGAAAAAUGUGACUUUAGUGUGUUUUUGUGCGAAAUAGUCUCUAUUACUGGAAUUUCAAAAGCUACAAUGAUGAUAUCUAGGACAACGCCCAGCUAGGUCCCACUUGAUAGUUAAGCGACCGCAGACGAGGCACACGUUUGGAUGGGUAACCGUCUGAAAAUUCCAUUGUGCUGUUGUUCUAAGGCAAGAAUAUCUCAGGAGCAAGUGUGAAAGCCAGAAACAUAUCUGAGGUUUGGAUCUAUGAAACACAUCACCCAGUAAGCUGAUCAACUGAACUUUUCUACAUUCCAACGACACUGCAAGAUACCCAUAACUACCAGGGCUUCAAUACCAGCUGGCUUUUGUUUAUUUUAAUAUAAUUUCUUAUAAAAUAUUUAGUAUUUUUAGAUAAUAUUGUAUUAAACACAAUUACAUUUAAAUAAAUAAAACUU